rnacentral:misc_RNA from 1 species
UACCCUUGACAUGUCAGGAAUCCUCCAGAAACGGGGGAGUGCCCGAAAGGGAGCCUGAACACAGGUGCUGCAUGGCUGUCGUCAGCUCGUGUCGUGAGAUGUUGGGUUAAGCCCCGCAACGAGCGCAACCCUUGCCAUUAGUUGCUACAUUCAGUUGAGCACUCUAAUGGGACUGCCGGUGACAAACCGGAGGAAGGUGGGGAUGACGUGAGGAUAG